CGGGGUGAGUAAUGUCUGGGAAACUGCCUGAUGGAGGGGGGUAACUACUGGAAACGGUAGCUAAUACCGCAUAACGUCGCAAGACCAAAGAGGGGGACCUUCGGGCCUCUUGCCAUCGGAUGUGCCCAGAUGGGAUUAGCUAGUAGGUGGGGUGACGGCUCACCUAGGCGACGAUCCCUAGCUGGUCUGAGAGGAUGACCAGCCACACUGGAACUGAGACACGGUCCAG
rnacentral:rRNA from 1 species